rnacentral:tRNA from 1 species
AUGCUUUUAGCUUAAUAGGUAUUAGCUUUGAAGGAGCUAAAGUUUUAUGAGCAUU